CAAUAGCGUAUAUUAAAGUUGUUGCGGUUAAAAGCUCGUAGUUGGAUUUCUGUUGAGGACGGCCGGUCCGCACUAUGUGCGUGUAUCUGGUUCGGCCUUGGCAUCCUCUUGAGGAACGUAUCUGCGCUUGAUUGCGUGGAGCGGUAUUCAAGACUUUUACUUUGAGGAAAUUAGAGUGUUCACGGCAGGCAAGCGCCUUGAAUACGUUAGCAUGGAAUGAUAAUAUAGGAUCUUGGUUCUAUUUUGUUGGUUUCUAGAGCUAAGGUAAUGAUUAAUAGGGAUAAUUGGGGGCAUUUGUAUUAACGCGUCAGAGGUGGAAUUCUUGGAUUGCGUUACGACAAACUACUGCGAAAGCAUUUGCCAAGGAUGUUUUCAUUGAUCAAGAACGAAAGUAUGGGGAUCGAAGACGAUUAGAUACCAU
rnacentral:rRNA from 1 species